GGGGCCCCGGGCCCGUCCCGCCGCCCCCGCCCGCCUACGGGAGGCAGCAGUGGGGAAUUUUGGACAAUGGGGGCAACCCUGAUCCAGCCAUGCCGCGUGAGUGAAGAAGGCCUUCGGGUUGUAAAGCUCUUUCAGCCGGGAAGAAAAUGCAUGGGUUAAUACCCUGUGCAGAUGACGGUACCGGAAUAAGAAGCACCGCUAACACUG
rnacentral:rRNA from 1 species